rnacentral:rRNA from 1 species
GCUCAACCGAAGAAGUGCAUCGGAAACUGGGAAACUUGAGUGCAGAAGAGGACAGUGGAACUCCAUGUGUAGCGGUGAAAUGCGUAGAUAUAUGGAAGAACACCAGUGGCGAAGGCGGCUGUCUGGUCUGUAACUGACGCUGAGGCUCGAAAGUAUGGGUAGCAAACAGGAUUAGAUACCCUGGUAGUCCAUACCGUAAACGAUGAAUGCUAAGUGUUGGAGGGUUUCCGCCCUUCAGUGCUGCAGCUAACGCAUUAAGCAUUCCGCCUGGGGAGUACGGCCGCAAGGCUGAAACUCAAAGGAAUUGACGGGGGCCCGCACAAGCGGUGGAGCAUGUGGUUUAAUUCGAAGCUACGCGAAGAACCUUACCAGGUCUUGACAUACUAUGCAAAUCUAAGAGAUUAGACGUUCCCUUCGGGGACAUGGAUACAGGUGGUGCAUGGUUGUCGUCAGCUCGUGUCGUGAGAUGUUGGGUUAAGUCCCGCAACGAGCGCAACCCUUAUUAUCAGUUGCCAGCAUUAAGUUGGGCACUCUGGUGGGACUGCCGGUGACAAACCGGAGGAAGGUGGGGAUGACAUCAAAUCAUCAUGCCCCUUAUGACCUGCGCUACACACGUGCUACAAUGGAUGGUACAACG